AAAAUUAGCCAGUCCCAUGGUUUGAAACCCAUUUGAGCGAGAGUAGUACUAGGAUGGGUGACCUCCUGGGAAGUCCUCGUGAAAGGGUUUC
rnacentral:rRNA from 1 species